rnacentral:lncRNA from 1 species
GGGGUCAGUGAAUGAGUUUUUCAGUUGACCGUCGGAACUCAUGAUGCAGCUUGGAAGAUGUUCCUAAUAAGUCAAAGGUGUUUAAUUUUUAAAUUCGUGAUAGGUUUGUAUUCUAUUUAUUAAUACAUGCUUGCUUCUACUUGCAGAAGUACUAUUAAUUUAAGACUCUUUAAGAUGAAGAGACUGACUGUCGAACCUUAGAGAAG